AACGAACGCUGGCGGCAGGCUUAACACAUGCAAGUCGAACGGGCCCUUCGGGGUCAGUGGCAGACGGGUGAGUAACGCGUGGGAACGUGCUCUUCAGUUCGGGAUAACCCAGGGAAACUUGGGCUAAUACCGGAUACGUGCGAGAGCAGAAAGAUUUAUCGCUGAAGGAUCGGCCGGCGUCUGAUUAGCUGGUUGGUGGGGUAAUGGCCCACCAAGGCGACGAUCAGUAGCUGGUCUGAGAGGAUGAUCAGCCACAUUGGGACUGAGACACGGCCCAAACUCCUACGGGAGGCAGCAGUGGGGAAUAUUGGACAACGGGCGCAAGCCUGAUCCAGCCAUGCCGCGUGAGUGAUGACGGCCUUAGGGUUGUAAAGCUCUUUCGCACGCGACGAUAAUGACGGUAGCGUGAGAAGAAGCCCCGGCUAACUUCGUGCCAGCCGCCGCCGUAA
rnacentral:rRNA from 1 species